rnacentral:rRNA from 1 species
UACAGAGGUCCCAAGCGUUGCUCGGAAUCACUGGGCGUAAAGGGUGCGUAGGCGGGUCUUUAAGUCAGGGGUGAAAUCCCGGAGCUCAACUCCGGAACUGCCUUUGAUACUGGCGACCUUGAGGCUGGAAGAGGUUAGUGGAAUUCCCAGUGUAGAGGUGAAAUUCGUAGAUAUUGGGAAGAACACCAGUGGCGAAGGCGGCUAACUGGUCCAGAUCUGACGCUGAGGUGCGAAAGCGUGGGGAGCAAACAGG